rnacentral:rRNA from 1 species
AAGAAUUUAAAGGUCGAACAGACCUAUUAAUUGGGCUACUGCACCCAAUCAUUAUCUUAAUCCAACAUCGAGGUCGCAAGCCUUCCUGUAAAUUCGAGCUCUGGAGGAAGAUUACGCUGUUAUCCCUAAGGUAACUUAUUCUACUAAUCAAUAAUAAUGGAUCUAAGAAUCAUAAAUAAAUGUAUAAUAAAUAAUAAAAGUUAAAUAUAUAUCUUUUGUCGCCCCAACAAAAAAGUCUAAUCAACAGCAGUAAAAAUGAAACACAACAGCCAUUAAAAUUGACCAUUAAAGCUCUAUAGGGUCUUCUCGUCUUCCAAAAGAAUUUGAGCCUUUUAACUCAAAAGCUAAAUUUUAACUUAUUUAAUUGAGACAGUUAGAGCCUCGUCAAGCCCUUCAUUCCAGCCCCCUAUUAAAAGACUAAUGAUUAUGCUACCUUUGCACGGUCAAAAUACCGCGGCCGUUAAAUAGUUAUCACCGGGCAGGCUUGACCUCAUAUAAUAAAACAAGAGGAC